CACAAAAUGCCGUCAAAGCGUGUGUCAACAACUUCCUGUUUGGAACGGCAUUUGCUCACCUGGCUGCUGUCCUGACUUUCGCCGCUGCCACCGACGUUGAGCACAUUCACCGGGUGGUCCACUCCCAGUGUUUUCUCCCUGAUGGCCAACGCGUCAUUCAGCAGUAACCGGCCUCACCUGUACACCAGCGCCAGAAUGUUCAACAUGGUGGCCACGUCAGGGUGGGUGUGGCCCGACGACUUCUCCAAGUCUUCCAAGGCCUGCUUACAGAGGGGCACGGCGACCUCAGUAUCGUCCCUGCGAAGCAUAUUGGAUGACGAGGUUGUGGAGCGUCCGAAGGCGAGCGGGAAUCUCGUAGCCACCUUGCUGGGCCGCCGCUGCCGCGCUGCUGUGGUGGUGCUGCGACGUUGACACUGACACACACAACACACACAUAAAUUCAAUUCAUUUACAUUAUUCUGUUUAUUCUGCGUGUGCGCGUUUUACUUUGUGACGACUCCUCGUCCUCGGCAGGAAAAAGGUAAUCCAGGGACUCUUUGUUGGAAGAUGUGCUCUUGUCAUCCUAGAAAUAUUAGAUAUUAGUAAUCAUUGACCUGAUCACCUACCCUAGAGCAACCUGCACUGCAUUUCAGAUAUCCAUUUGCGGAUAAGGUAAAGGAGCGUGU